UGUUGCUAGCAACAAGUACUUAGAACGUGUGUGAUUUGGCAUGUCUCAAACUGUGAAGUAGAUGCAAUGCAGGCAAAAAAUUGAUGAUGCUACGGGGAGGGGCUGUGUAGGGUGUUAAUCGCCAUCUGCAGUGCCUGGAGGUGGGGUGGGGAGAAGUGAAGAAUCUCUUCCUUUUUAAUAGAUUUUCAAGAUGGGAAAAUCAUAUUGCAACCCACAGGCAUUUGGAAACAAUUUGUGCCGAAGACAGAAAGUACACCUAACGUUAAGCUGAAAAAACUGGACGCUCCCAGCAAACUCACUUUGCAGAUUCCUGGAUGUCAGAAGAAAACGCCAGAGGAUUUCACUUGGCAUUGACCCCUUACUACUUCCAGCCACUUGCCCCGGACAGUAGACAGAAGGAACAGAAAGCAGAGUAGCUUAAGAGGAGGCUUGUUACAGGGUCAACUUCUCGGUGCAUGGCUCCUUCCAGUCUGAUAAGAACCAUCCCUCAGCCUUCAGACGAACAGGUCCAGCUGUGCUCAAGCAGCAGCUGUAUCUCUUUAUCAGAGAGCUGCCCUCAGUCCAGAAACUAUUUUGAUAGUGCAAUAAUGAAGAUUGACUUCCUUCUAGAAAUGACAGUCUUUAACUGGUGAAUGACAGGUGAGAGGGAGGUGUAAAUACUCCAGCUUCCGUGGUCCCUGGCCAGGACAGCAGUGACAGUACACAGGAAGAUCUGGAGAGACGGGCCUUGUUUUCACCGUCAACGCACAGAUCUGAGGGUGGCCUAGUGAGCACAUCCCCCCGCCUCCCCCCAUCGCAGGAGUGUUUGUGUUGGAGGAGGGAGUGUUAAAUUCCAACCUCAGUACAACUCUUGAAGACUCUGCCAGUUCAGGGGCAAGAAACCAGUUGGGUGUUGUGCAUAAGGACGUGGACCCUGCGGCCAGACUGCUUGGAUCAGUGUCCUCCCUCCACCACUUUGUAGCCAUCUGACCUCAGGCAAGUUCCUUCACUUCUCUAUGCCUGGGCUCCUCAUUUAUAAACUGGUGAUAUGAACAGAGCCUAUGUUCUAGGAUUGCUUACAUAGAAAUAAGUCAACAUAUAUAUAGCGCACAGAACAAUGCCAGGCACACAGCAGUGCUAUUUAUGGUCUUCUUCCUUCCUCCUCCUCCUCAUCCUCCUCUUCCUCCUCCUCUUCUUACUUUAUGCCAUUCUACCAGAUAAACACUAUUUUAUUUAUUUUAUAAUUUAGGAACUGAUUCUAAACUAUAUUAAGUAAUUUGUUUAAGGUCGAGCAUCUAGUGAGUGCUGGGCACUGUGUUGGAGCUUCAGUCUGCCUGAUUUCAAGGCCUGUGCUCCUUUCAAGGUGAGGUGUUUGACACAUCCCCUUCUUGCCAUCCUGGUGGCAUCCUCUCAACCACCAAAGCUUAUGAAAACAUGCCACUCAGGUUAGCUUCCACCGGACACUGACAGAGGAGCAAUUAUACCUGUGCCAAGGAAAGUUCUCAACGCCAAUAAGGGUUCUGGCUACUGUGGUAUACUUAGAGGAAAUGAAUUUAGGAAGUUUUAAUUAAGAUUUCAAGGACAAGAAGAGGAAAAUAUGAAGGAGAUGGAAUAAAUAUUCUUUGACUUUGAUUGGGAGGGUCAAAAUGCCCUUUCGCUGUCUCAUGAAGAUUGAAGUUCUAGGAUUCAGGUAUAGAAUUCUUUGCUAUUGGGUAUUAAAAAGCAAUAGAGCUCCAAAUAUAUGCAAUCAAUUUAUCCCAUCUUUAGGGAAACCUAAAUCUAAGCCGCCUAGUAUAGAGAACCACUUGUCCUGUGAGUAAAACCACUUUUACAAGACUUAACAGAGAAUAGGAGCAGGAAAGAGACCAACAUAAGGCAGUUGCUAGAGAACAGAAUUGUUUUACAGUUCUGACUUCACAACCUCAUUUUCCUGACCUGAUAGUUCUGAGAUAAACUUCUCUGGGUGUAUCUAGAAUCUAUUUCUUCUGUGAGGUGGUCACCAGGCCUGGUGACCUUUUAAGUUUAAUGUAUUAGAGCCAGCUGGGUCUUUGAGCCAGUGUAAGGAGACCAUGUGAACACUUGUAAGCCAUGUUUCUUUGUCCAGUAGCGUUUCAGUGCUACCUAAGCAUCUGUACAGCUAUUGUGUCUGACCUGCUCUGGUGAUUGAAACAUAUAGUUGGAACAGGAGGCAGUGUUUUUUUUUUCUUUUUCUCCAAUAGAUUUCUAAAACCUUUAAAUGAAGUAUUGCAUAUACACAGAGAAUUACAUAGAUCAUAAGUAUAUAGUCCAGUGAGCUAUCACAAAAUGAAUGUACCUGUGUAAGUGCCACUCAGGUUAAAGAAUAGAGCAUUAUCAGCUCCCAAGAAACCCACUGAAUAUUCCAGUUUAUCAUGCUCCUCCUUCUCUCCAAAGGUUACCACUGUUCUGACUUAUGAUGCCAUGGGUUAGUUUUACUUAUAUUUGUAUUUGAGCCACAUAUAAUUAGAAUCAUACAUUCUGUGUUCUUUCAAUUCUGGCUACUUUCACUUACUGUUACAUUUGAAAGUUUCAGUAGAUUUGCAUGUAAAAGGAGUUCAUGUAUUUUUAUUGCUGAAUAGUUUUCCAUUCUAUAAAUAUACUAUGAGUUAUUUACCCAUUCAACUGUCCAUUUAAUGGUUAUUUAGGUUGUUUAAAAUUUGAGGUUAUUAUGAAUAAUGCUGCCACGAACAUUCUUAUACAUGUCUUUUGUGUAUAUUUCUGUGGGAGUACGUAUCUGCAAGUGGAAUUGCUGAGUCAGAAAGUGUGCAUAUAGUACUCAGCGUUAGAGGAAACUUGCCAAAGAGUUUUCCAAAGUGGAAAUGUGCCAAUGUAUGCUUCCAUCAACAGUGUGUAUGUUCAAAAUCCUUGCUAACAUUUGGUAUUGUCAGGCUUUUAAAUUAUGAUCAUUCCAGUAGGUGUGUAGUGGCAUGUCAUUGUGUUUUUAAUUUUUAUUUUCCUGAAGACUGAUAAAGUUGAGUACCUUUGAAAAUGUUAAUUGGCAAUUUGGCUACCUUUGGUGAAGUGUCUGAACAUGGCAUUGUGUUAUUUGUCUUCCUUAUUGAUUUGUAGUUUUUAUAUAUUUUGGACAUGCGUUCUAUGUGUUGCAAAUAAUUUCUCCCACUAUAUCGAUUGCCUCUUCAGUACUUUAGUGGUAUUUUGGGGUGAACAGAAUGUCGUAAAAUUAAAGGACCGCAACAUAUCUUUGCCUUUGUGAUUAGGACAUUUUGUGACUAUUUAAAAAUCUUCUUCCAAGAUCAUAAAGAUAUUCUCCCAUGUUAACUUCUAGAACAGGGGUUGGCAAACUAUGGACUGUGAUCCAAAUCCAUUCUGCCAACUGUUUUUGUAAAUAAAGUUUUAUUGGGAUACAGUCAUGCUCAUUCAUUUACACAUCACCCAUGAUUACUUUUGUGCUACAACAGACCUUAUGGCACACAAAGCCCAGAAUGUUUAUUCUCUGACUCUUUACAGAAAAAGUUUGCCAAACCCUCCAGAAGAUUUAUUGUUUUGCCUUUCACAUUUGGAAUUGAUAUUUGUGUAUAGUGUGCGGUAGGGAUCAAGAUUUUUUUCCAUAUGAAUAUGUAAUUGAACCAGUGUCAUUUAUUAAGGGAUUAUCCUUUCCCCAUGAUUCCCUAUGUCAUAAAUCAAUUCAAGUAUACAUAUAUGCAUGGAUCUGUUUCCAGAUUUUCAUUUCUUUUUAUUGGUCCAUUUUUCUAUCCCAUGACCAAUGCCACUCUGUUUUACUUGGUUCACUUUUAAAAGUGAGUCAUGAUAUCCUCCCAUUUCAUUUUUCUUCAAGAUUGUCUCUGUUACUGUUAAGACUUGACAUAUCUAUAUUAGUUUUCGAAUCAGCCUGUCAAUUUCCUCAAAACACCUUCCUGGGAUUUAGAUUGGCAUUAUAUUGAUUCUGUAGAUCAAUUUGGAGAGGUUUGACUUAUUUACAGAGAUGAGAUCCUUCCAGUUCAUAAAAGUGAUGUAUUUUUAAAUUUAUUUAGGUCUUCCUCAAUUUCUUUCAAUAAUAUUUAGACCUGACAUUGAUAUCCUGUGCAUAUUUUUAAUUGGUUUAUCUCUAGGUAUCUUUGAUGCUAUGAUAAUUUAUGUCAACACUAGCUUUUGUGUAAAAGAAAAAAAUGACUAACUAGUCACCUACUGAUAUGGUUUAGCUCUGUGUCCCCAUCCAAAUCGCAUGGCAAAUUGCAAUUCCCAGUGUUGGAGGAGGGCCUGAUGGGAGGUGACUGGAUCCUGGGGACAAAUUUUCCCCUUGCUAUUCUCAUGACAGUGAGUUCUCGCAUGAUCUAGUUGUUUAGAAGGGUGUAGCACUUCCCCCCUCUUUCUCUUCUUCCUUCUCUGGCCAUGUAAGAUGCACCUCCUUCUUCUUCAUCUUCCACUGAUGAUUGUCAGUUUCCUGAGGCCUCCCCCGCCAUGCUUCCGUGCAGCCUGCAGAAUCAGGAGCGAAUUAAACCUCUUUUCUUUGUAAAUUACCCAGUCUCAGGUAGUUCUUUAUAGCAAUGUGAGAACAGACUAAUACACCCAGCAAAUGCCAUGCCGUAGUGGAAAUAUAGUGGAGACCUAAAACAAUAUUACAUGUUCUAAGAAAUAAUAAUUGUUGGGUGGUAAAGGGAAAUGACAAGCCUGGCAGGAAAAAAUAAUCACACACAGCACAUGUAUAUACACAUACUCACUUAAGUGUCUGUCUCCUCCAUGAGUUGAGAAUGCGUACUGGUAUUGGCUCACGUGGCCUUGGGCUAUUAAGACUCUAUGACAGAAUGGAAAGAGUGUUAGUGGAAUGUCAGGACUCCUGGAUCCUAAGCUUGGUUCUUCACAAACUAGUUGUGAAAUUUCAGGCAAAGCUCUACUUAACCUCCUUAGAUCUCAGUUUUUACACCUCUAAAAAUAGAGUUGGCUCUAACAUUGACUUAUAAAUAAGGAAAAGGAACCCUUUGUUUCCUGGUGAGUUUUGACAUAGGGAUAUCCUGGGUAUGAUUUGGGGGGGUCUGCCUGCCAAGAGAUUUCUUAAAGAAAAGCUAUCUCCCCACUAGUUUGUGAAUGCUUAGUAAUUCUUUGACAGAAAAAAUGUCUCUGAGAGAGGGGAUCCCCUGAGGUGAACAAGCAGAGGAAUAACCGAUGCAAGAAGAGAUCACAAGGAUCAGGCACAGGUGUCUUACCUGAAGUACAUUCCAAAGGUGGAGAAGGUUCAGGAAAAAGCAUAGAGGCAGAAGCUGGCAGUGCCCAUGCAGGGACUUCCCUUUGAAUCAUGAAAGUUUCAUAGAAGAGAUGAAUUAGGAUUCUGCCUUAAAAGUAUUUAAAGAAAGAGUUACAAUCAAUGGACAAAAAGUGCUGCCAUUUCUCUUUAUGUUUAACAGUGAUGAUGAGGAGUGGGUGGAGCAGCAAAAACUGUUUGUCAGAAUUCAUGGUCCUUCUCACCUAGUAAAAUAUUCACCCUGGAAUCUUUCCUGAUCUUUGAUCCCUGAUCCCUGCUCCCCGAUCAGAGACUCCAUUCCCAGAACACCCCUGCAUCUGGGUUGUGUCAGUAGAAUAUAUAAAAUUGGUAUUUGUUACUUCUGAACCACGACCAUUGAGAAGCAUGUGUGCCUUCUCCAUCUUUUUUUUCUCUUUAUAUGGCUAGAACCUAAGGACUCCCAGUUCCCAGGAGAUAGUGGAGCCACAAGAUGUAAAGAGCCUGCCUGAGCUUUGUGCUGCUAUAACAGAAUACCUGGGACUGGGUAAUUAAUUAAGAACAGAAAUUUAUUUUUCACAGUUCUGGAGGCUGGAAAGUCCAAGAUUAAUGCACCAGCAUGUUAACUGCUUGGUGAGGGUCUAGUCUUUGCUUCCAAGAUGGUGCCUUCAAUGCUGCAACCCCUUGGGGGAAGAAGAGAUGUAUCUUCACAUGGUAGAUAGCAGAAGGGCAAAAAGGGAUAAACUUCCUCUAUCAAGACCUAUUAUAAGGACACCUAAUCUGAUUCAUGAGAGUAGAGACCUUAUGGCUUAAUCACCUCUUAAAGGCCCUACCUUUGAAUACUAUCACACUGGCAACACUUGAAUUUUGGAUGAGACACAUUCAAGCCAUAGCAGAGCCUCAAUCCUUGAGUUAUCUCAUUGAGGAAAGUGGUGUGCCUACCAGGAAUACUUGCACCAGACUGUUUGGUGAAUGAGAAAUAAAAUUCUGUUGUGUUAAGUCA